rnacentral:rRNA from 1 species
GUUAACUCCAAAUACAUGAAUACUUGUAUUCUGUACCGUGAAAGGGAAACAGGUUAAUAUUCCUGUACUAUAUCAAGGAGGUAAAAUGGUAACAUAAAUGAACUCAAAUACAUCAGUAGAAUAACCAGGAAGAGUUCUCUUUUCUUUUUAACGACUUUCCCGCAAGGGGAUGUAUAAUGACCAUGGAAUCAAUUUAGUUGGAGAAAUGGUUAAAGAGUCGGUAGAGUAAAUCAAUUUCUGAUUUAUCUGGUUAGGUUCUAAUGGUACAUAAAAAUUUGAGGGAAUGAUCUUACUUUGAUAGUCGUACUCAUAACCGCAGCAGGUCUCCAAGGUUAGAAGCCUCUAGUUGGCAGAAUAAUGUAGGUAAGGGAAGUCGGCAAAAUAGAUCUGUAACUUCGGAAAAAGGAAUUGGCUCUAAGGACUGAGUAUAUGGGCUAUAUUUUGUAAGUUA